GAUGAACGCUGGCGGCGUGCCUAAUACAUGCAAGUCGAGCGAACGGACGAGAAGCUUGCUUCUCUGAUGUUAGCGGCGGACGGGUGAGUAACGCGUGGAUAACCUACCUAUAAGACUGGGAUAACUUCGGGAAACCGUAGCUAAUACCGGAUAAUAUUUUGAACCGCAUGGUUCAAAAGUGAAAGACGGUCUUGCUGUCACUUAUAGAUGGAUCCGCGCUGCAUUAGCUAGUUGGUAAGGUAACGGCUUACCAAGGCAACGAUGCAUAGCCGACCUGAGAGGGUGAUCGGCCACACUGGAACUGAGACGCGGUCCAGACUCCUACGGGAGGCAGCAGUAGGGAAUCUUCCGCAAUGGGCGAAAGCCUGACGGAGCAACGCCGCGUGAGUGAUGAAGGUCUUCGGAUCGUAAAACUCUGUUAUUAGGGAAGAACAUAUGUGUAAGUAACUGUGCACAUCUUGACGGUACCUAAUCAGAAAGCCACGGCUAACUACGUG
rnacentral:rRNA from 1 species